AUUGAACGCUGGCGGCAGGCCUAACACAUGCAAGUCGAACGAGUGGCGGACGGGUGAGUAAUGUCUGGGAAACUGCCUGAUGGAGGGGGAUAAAUACUGGAAACGGUAGCUAAUACCGCAUACCAUCGGAUGUGCCCAGAUGGGAUUAGCUAGUAGGUGGGGUAACGGCUCACCUAGGCGACGAUCCCUAGCUGGUCUGAGAGGAUGACCAGCCACACUGGAACGGAGACACGGUCCAGACUCCUACGGGAGGAAGCAGUGGGGAAUAUUGCACAAGGGGCGCAAGCCGGAUGCAGCCAUGCCGCUUGGGUGAGGAAGGCCUUCGGGUUGUAAAGUACUUUCAGCGGGGAGGCGUUACCCGCAGAAGAAGCACCGGCUAACUCCGUGCCAGCAGGCGCGGUAAUAC
rnacentral:rRNA from 1 species